GGUCCCGUAGCUUAGUUGGUAAAGCGUUUGGCUAAUAACCAAAAGAGCCUGGGUUCGAGCCCCAGCGGGACCA
rnacentral:tRNA from 1 species